UGGGGAAUAUUGCACAAUGGGGGAAACCCUGAUGCAGCGACGCCGCGUGAACGAAGAAGGUAUUCGUAUCGUAAAGUUCUGUCCUAUGGGAAGAUAAUGACAGUACCAUAGAAGAAAGCUCCGGCUAAAUACGUGCCAGCAGCCGCGGUAAUACGUAUGGAGCGAGCGUUGUCCGGAAUUAUUGGGCGUAAAGGGUACGCAGGCGGUUUAAUAAGUCGAAUGUUAAAGAUCGGGGCUCAACCCCGCAGAGCAUUGGAAACUGAUAAACUUGAGUAGUGGAGAGGAAAGUGGAAUUCCUAAGGUAGUGGUGAAAUACGUAGAUAUUAGGGGGAAUACCAGUAGAGAAGGCGACUUUCUGGACACAAACUGACGCUGAGGUACGAAAGCGUGGGGAGCAAACAGG
rnacentral:rRNA from 1 species